rnacentral:rRNA from 1 species
GAGUGAACGCUGGCGGUAGGCCUAACACAUGCAAGUCGAACGGCAGCACAGUAAGAGCUUGCUCUUACGGGUGGCGAGUGGCGGACGGGUGAGGAAUACAUCGGAAUCUACUUUUUCGUGGGGGAUAACGUAGGGAAACUUACGCUAAUACCGCAUACGACCUACGGGUGAAAGCAGGGGAUCUUCGGACCUUGCGCGAUUGAAUGAGCCGAUGUCGGAUUAGCUAGUUGGCGGGGUAAAGGCCCACCAAGGCGACGAUCCGUAGCUGGUCUGAGAGGAUGAUCAGCCACACUGGAACUGAGACACGGUCCAGACUCCUACGGGAGGCAGCAGUGGGGAAUAUUGGACAAUGGGCGCAAGCCUGAUCCAGCCAUACCGCGUGGGUGAAGAAGGCCUUCGGGUUGUAAAGCCCUUUUGUUGGGAAAGAAAAGCAGCAGGUUAAUACCCCGCUAUUCUGACGGUACCCAAAGAAUAAGCACCGGCUAACUUCGUG